CACAUUCGCUAAAGAAAAGAAAAAGAGAAAUUGCAUCCUAUAGCAUACAAAAAAAUUAUAAUUCAUUAUCUAACCAAUUAACCUAGUUUACAUAGAUAUAUCAUGUAUUUUAUAUAAUAAUACACUAAUACCCUUGUAAGUCACCGAUGAAACCUGCUACCAAACUAAUUUUAAAAAUAAAUAAUAUGUGAAUGUAGAAGGUAAUAUGUGGCUCUUUAUUAUUCACACACUAUUCUAAAGCUAUUUUUAUUUGAUAAUUUUUGGGAAAGUGAAUAUUUUUCAUCUCAGAUUUGCAAGAUCCCUCAACGCCACCGUAUACACUCUACAUACCCGGUGAAGUACAAUGGAGGAGAAAACCACUUUCGAAAGCUACGGCAUUAAGGAAAGGGGAAGCUUCUCAGAUUUUAAAAUAUACAGUCCCAAGGAAGAUGGAACAAGAGAGGCGGCGAGGUGGAUUAACGCUUGCAGAUUCAAGUUCCCAAAACCGUAUUGCAGUAGAGAAUUUCAAUCAUGUUACAAAUGGAUGAUUUAGACUGUCCAGUAGAUUGUUCGAAACUGGAUUCGAACCAUUUCGUGAAUAUAUUCUCAUUUAUAUGUAAUGGUGCAAUGUAUAUAUAAAUGGAAUAGACCAUGUGUACGUAAAAUAGAAAGAUUAUACAUGUGAAAUGGAAUGUAUGAUAUUUGCUAUUUGUUUUAUUCUAUUCUAUUUGCAGAACAUACAAUAAAAAUAUGCUUUUACAGUGCA